CGCACGCAUUUGGAAUGAAAUCCUCUGUUUUAGACUUAAACCGACGUUUAUCGUAGGCUCGUAGAAUCGAUUUCGUUGGAUCUUGCGGCAAGACUGGAUCGGAGAUUGGUUAAACUCGUUUAGAGUUUAACAGGUAGUACUAAAGAGUUCUUGGAUCGGCUGCGGUAAUAAGGAUAAACGUACGGUCCUUUUUAUGAUCCUCUUUAUGUGUAGAUAACCGCUCAUUGGAGAGAACGAAUGGUACGAGAAACUCGUGCUAGCAAAUCUUGGGCAAGAAAAGUUGGAGAACUUAGCGGAAUAUAGCUAUACGGUUCAGUUUGCUACGUAUUAGACGCCAUAGGCCGUUCACGAUGUUUGGAAUCGACAUCGCGGUACAACGAAGGCUCAACGAGGGUCGAUCGUGUAAUCGAGAACAGAUAGGGCGGCACUGGUUUCAACGCGAACUCCAGAUGAUCGAUCAGGUCGAACGGGUUACAUGGCGAAUUUUAUGCUUUUAACUUAACCACACACAAUACCUCGCGGAAAUUUAACAUUCAACUGUA